rnacentral:rRNA from 1 species
ACUGUGGAUAGGAGCGAAAGACCAAUCAAACUCAGUGAUAGCUGGUUCUCUUCGAAAUAUCUUGAGGGAUAGCCUUACGCCAUUGACUUACGGGGGUAGAGCACUGAUUGUCCGCGGGUCCUUACCGGGAUACCAACGACUGUCAAACUUCGAAUACCGUUAAGUUUUACCGUAGGAGUCAGACUGUGGGGGAUAAGCUUCAUAGUCGAGAGGGAAACAACCCAGAUCGCCGUCUAAGGUCCCUAAUUCAAGCUAAGUGGUUGGAAGGAUGUGAAGUUGCGUAAACAACCAGGAUGUUGGCUUAGAGGCAGCCAUCAUUUAAAGAUCGCGUAAUAGCGCACUGGUCGAGUGAUUUUGCGCCGAAGAUGAUCGGGACUAAGCUUGAAACCGAAGACGCGGAUGUACAGCAAUGUACGUGGUAGAAGAGCGUUGUAUGAGGAGCGAAGCGUGAAUGAAAAUGAGCGUGGACUUCAUACAAGUGACCAUGCAAGCAUGAGUAGCGAAAAACCGGAUGGAAAUUCCGGUCACCGUAAGACCAAGGUUUCCCGGGGAAGGUUCGUCCGCCCGGGGUUAGCCGGAUCCUAAGGCCAGGCCGAAAGGCGUAGUCGAUGGACAACGGGUUAAUAUUCCCGUGCCGCCUUAACGGAGUGACGGAGUGACGCAGUAUGCUAAGCGAGCUGGCUAUAUGCCAGUCUAAUGUCGUAGGACGUCAGGGGUUAAAUGACCUGACAUCAGUCUGAAAACGGAUGGGACUCGAAGCCUUCGGGUAACGGGGAUUCGCUGAUGCUUCGCUGACGAGAAAAGCUCCUAAACGUCGAUGUUUUGGCGUCCGUACCGUAAACCGACACAGGUGGUCGAGGCGAGUAGCCUAAGGUGCGCGAGUGAAACCACUUCAAGGAACUCGGCAAAUUAGCCCCGUAACUUUGGGAGAAGGGGUGCCGAACGGGUGCAUAGCCCGGACGGUUUCAACAAAGAGGCCGCGGCGACUGUUUAACAAAAACAUAGCUCUCUGCUAACUCGCAAGAGGAUGUAUAGGGAGUGACACGUGACCAAUGCCGAAAGGUCAAUCGGAUCCGUUAGCAGAAAUGCGAAGCGGUGAUGUGAAGCCCCGGUGAAUGUCGGCCGUAACUAUAACGGUCCUAAGGUAGCGAAAUUCCUUGUCGGGUAAGUUCCGACCUGCACGAAUCGUGUAACGAUCGCGGCACUGUCUCGAAGUGGAGCUCGGCGAAGUUGUAAUUCCGGUGAAAAUGCCGGAUACCUGCAGUAGGACGGAAAGACCCUGUGAACCUUUACUGUAAUCUGAUAUUGGCAUUCGGGUGUUAAUGUGUAGGAUAGGUGGGAGACUGUGAAACAGACGCGCCAGCCUCUGUGGAGUCAACGGUGAAAUACCACCCUUUAUAACUUGAAUGUCUAACCUCAGCCCGUGAAUCCGGGCGGGAGACAGUGUCAGAGGGUCAGUUUGACUGG